GCGCGGGUGGCGGAAUAGGUAGACGCGCUAGCUUGAGGUGCUAGUGCCCGAUUAUGGGCGUGGAGGUUCAAGUCCUCUUUCGCGCA
rnacentral:tRNA from 1 species